rnacentral:lncRNA from 1 species
UUUCACAUGGAAGCAACUGCACAUGCAACUAGCAAUGCUAACACAGGGUUAAGCAAGCAGUAACAUAGCCAAUCAGUGGUUUGCUAGGUUGAACAGGUUGAAGGUUUUCAUGGCAUUGUUUAGAGGUUGAUAUUUAACAUGUGGUAGGCAACGAGACAUAAUCAAUAGAAGCGAUAAAAACUAGCAUGGAAAUGAUAGUAAUGGUAUCUGGGGAAAUGGUCAUCUUGCCUGAAAUCCCGCUUGGAAGAAGAAUGCCUCCGUGAAGCAGACAAACCGAGGUCGAACGGGUCCUCACAUCCGACACGCUUGCGGAACUCUAUCGAGACGAAGAAAACCGGAAACACAAAUCAACACACGAUAUUCACCACACGAUGCACAACACAUAUGAUGCAUGAGCAGCUGAAUACAUGCAAGACACGACAUGACAAUUCACACAAUCAAACACUACACAUUAAGUGAAGUUCAAUAUGCAACGAGUUGCAUAUUGACGAAACUCCACGUUAAUUUAUUUAGUUCUAUCCCGAUUAGGUACACGACAAUAUUAGAUGUGCUUACACAUGGCAAGAGGUGAAGCGUAAUUAAACUACCUAUCUAGGCAUUUUAAAUGAGGUCGAAAAUGACAUAUAGCAUCACCGAAAUGACCCCAUGUGUUAAAUCUUAAUUCUGUCCAGAUUUGUCCUAAUCACAUUUUAGUUUUGUCAAACGGAAAAUCAAAGUGGUUCGUGUGAUUUUACUCACCGUUUUGGUCCAUUUACAUAUAUGGCACAUCUCCAACGGAGCUACAGACAAAUAGUUACGACCUAAACCGUUUAAACACGUCGUCACGCAAAUCGAUGCAAACAACAUACUAAACAGUUCUAAUUAUGCAACGAGUUGGAAAAUAUUACUCUACGCAAAAUUCUACACGUUCUACAUAUAUAUCUCGUUUUGGUCCAUUACACGGUUAAAAGAUACGGACGGUUGCAAACAUGCUAUUUCUGCAAUCUAGCAAAUUCGCUAGUUAAUAGCAAAAACGUAGACAACGAAAAAAAAACUAGCUAAGGGCCGAAUUUGAAGACACAGUGCAACCCAGCAACAGAUCAGGCCCAAACGUGUGACAAC